UUUGGUUAAGUUAGAAAGGGCGCACGGUGGAUGCCUUGACACUAGGAGUCGAUGAAGGACGGGACUAACGCCGAUAUGCUUCGGGGAGCUGUAAGUAAGCUUUGAUCCGAAGAUUUCCGAAUGGGGAAACCCACCAUACGUAAUGGUAUGGUAUCCUUAUCUGAAUACAUAGGGUAAGGAAGACAGACCCAGGGAACUGAAACAUCUAAGUACCUGGAGGAAGAGAAAGCAAAUGCGAUUUCCUGAGUAGCGGCGAGCGAAACGGAACAUAGCCCAAACCAAGAGGCUUGCCUCUUGGGGUUGUAGGACAUUCUAUACGGAGUUACAAAGGAACGAGGUAGACGAAGCGACCUGGAAAGGUCCGUCGUAGAGGGUAACAACCCCGUAGUCGAAACUUCGUUCUCUCUUGAAUGUAUCCUGAGUACGGCGGAACACGUGAAAUUCCGUCGGAAUCUGGGAGGACCAUCUCCCAAGGCUAAAUACUCCCUAGUGAUCGAUAGUGAACCAGUACCGUGAGGGAAAGGUGAAAAGCACCCCGGAAGGGGAGUGAAAGAGAUCCUGAAACCGUGUGCCUACAAAUAGUCAGAGCCCGUUAAUGGGUGAUGGCGUGCCUUUUGUAGAAUGAACCGGCGAGUUACGAUCCCGUGCGAGGUUAAGCUGAAGAGGCGGAGCCGCAGCGAAAGCGAGUCUGAAUAGGGCGUUUAGUACGUGGUCGUAGACCCGAAACCAGGUGAUCUACCCAUGUCCAGGGUGAAGUUCAGGUAACACUGAAUGGAGGCCCGAACCCACGCACGUUGAAAAGUGCGGGGAUGAGGUGUGGGUAGCGGAGAAAUUCCAAUCGAACCUGGAGAUAGCUGGUUCUCCCCGAAAUAGCUUUAGGGCUAGCCUUAAGUGUAAGAGUCUUGGAGGUAGAGCACUGAUUGGACUAGGGGUCCUCAUCGGAUUACCGAAUUCAGUCAAACUCCGAAUGCCAAUGACUUAUCCUUAGGAGUCAGACUGCGAGUGAUAAGAUCCGUAGUCAAAAGGGAAACAGCCCAGACCGCCAGCUAAGGUCCCAAAGUGUGUAUUAAGUGGAAAAGGAUGUGGAGUUGCUUAGACAACUAGGAUGUUGGCUUAGAAGCAGCCACCAUUUAAAGAGUGCGUAAUAGCUCACUAGUCGAGUGACUCUGCGCCGAAAAUGUACCGGGGCUAAAUACACCACCGAAGCUGCGGAUUGAUACCAAUGGUAUCAGUGGUAGGGGAGCGUUCUAAGGACAGUGAAGUCAGACCGUAAGGACUGGUGGAGUGCUUAGAAGUGAGAAUGCCGGUAUGAGUAGCGAAAGACGGGUGAGAAUCCCGUCCACCGAAUGCCUAAGGUUUCCUGAGGAAGGCUCGUCCGCUCAGGGUUAGUCAGGACCUAAGCCGAGGCCGACAGGCGUAGGCGAUGGACAACAGGUUGAUAUUCCUGUACCACCUCUUUAUCGUUUGAGCAAUGGAGGGACGCAGAAGGAUAGAAGAAGCGUGCGAUUGGUUGUGCACGUCCAAGCAGUUAGGCUGAUAAGUAGGCAAAUCCGCUUAUCGUAAAGGCUGAGCUGUGAUGGGGAAGCUCCUUAUGGAGCGAAGUCUUUGAUUCCCCGCUGCCAAGAAAAGCUUCUAGCGAGAUAAAAGGUGCCUGUACCGCAAACCGACACAGGUAGGCGAGGAGAGAAUCCUAAGGUGUGCGAGAGAACUCUGGUUAAGGAACUCGGCAAAAUGACCCCGUAACUUCGGGAGAAGGGGUGCUUUCUUAACGGAAAGCCGCAGUGAAUAGGCCCAAGCGACUGUUUAGCAAAAACACAGCUCUCUGCGAAGCCGUAAGGCGAAGUAUAGGGGGUGACACCUGCCCGGUGCUGGAAGGUUAAGGAGAGGGGUUAGCGUAAGCGAAGCUCUGAACUGAAGCCCCAGUAAACGGCGGCCGUAACUAUAACGGUCCUAAGGUAGCGAAAUUCCUUGUCGGGUAAGUUCCGACCCGCACGAAAGGUGUAACGAUUUGGGCACUGUCUCAACCAGAGACUCGGUGAAAUUAUAGUACCUGUGAAGAUGCAGGUUACCCGCGACAGGACGGAAAGACCCCGUGGAGCUUUACUGUAGCCUGAUAUUGAAUUUUGGUACAUUUUGUACAGGAUAGGCGGGAGCCUUUGAAACCGGAGCGCUAGCUUCGGUGGAGGCGCUGGUGGGAUACCGCCCUGAAUGUAUUGAAAUUCUAACCUACGGGUCUUAUCGACCCGGGAGACAGUGUCAGGUGGGCAGUUUGACUGGGGCGGUCGCCUCCUAAAGUGUAACGGAGGCGCCCAAAGGUUCCCUCAGAAUGGUUGGAAAUCAUUCGUAGAGUGCAAAGGCAUAAGGGAGCUUGACUGCGAGACCUACAAGUCGAGCAGGGACGAAAGUCGGGCUUAGUGAUCCGGUGGUUCCGCAUGGAAGGGCCAUCGCUCAACGGAUAAAAGCUACCCCGGGGAUAACAGGCUUAUCUCCCCCAAGAGUCCACAUCGACGGGGAGGUUUGGCACCUCGAUGUCGGCUCAUCGCAUCCUGGGGCUGUAGUCGGUCCCAAGGGUUGGGCUGUUCGCCCAUUAAAGCGGUACGCGAGCUGGGUUCAGAACGUCGUGAGACAGUUCGGUCCCUAUCCGUCGUGGGCGUAGGAAAUUUGAGAGGAGCUGUCCUUAGUACGAGAGGACCGGGAUGGACGCACCGCUGGUGUACCAGUUGUUCUGCCAAGGGCAUAGCUGGGUAGCUAUGUGCGGAAGGGAUAAGUGCUGAAAGCAUCUAAGCAUGAAGCCCCCCUCAAGAUGAGAUUUCCCAUAGCGUAAGCUAGUAAGAUCCCUGAAAGAUGAUCAGGUUGAUAGGUUCGAGGUGGAAGCAUGGUGACAUGUGGAGCUGACGAAUACUAAUAGAUCGAGGACUUAACCAUAUAA
rnacentral:rRNA from 1 species